UCCCUGGUGGUCCAGUGGUUAAGACGCCACAUUUCCAUUGUAGAGGGCACAGGUUCAAUCCCUGGUCAAGGAA